rnacentral:rRNA from 1 species
AGCGAAUGGAUUGAGAGCUUGCUCUCAAGAAGUUAGCGGCGGACGGGUGAGUAACACGUGGGUAACCUGCCCAUAAGACUGGGAUAACUCCGGGAAACCGGGGCUAAUACCGGAUAAUAUUUUGAACUGCAUGGUUCGAAAUUGAAAGGCGGCUUCGGCUGUCACUUAUGGAUGGACCCGCGUCGCAUUAGCUAGUUGGUGAGGUAACGGCUCACCAAGGCAACGAUGCGUAGCCGACCUGAGAGGUGGAUCGGCCACACUGGGACUGAGANCGGGCCCCAGACUCCAUACGGGAGGCAGCAGUAGGGAAUCUUCCGCAAUGGACGAAAGUCUGACGGAGCAACGCCGCGUGAGUGAUGAAGGCUUUCGGGUCGUAAAACUCUGUUGUUAGGGAAGAACAAGUGCUAGUUGAAUAAGCUGGCACCUUGACGGUACCUAACCAGAAAGCCACGGCUAACUACGUGCCAGCAGCCGCGGUAAUACGUAGGUGGCAAGCGUUAUCCGGAAUUAUUGGGCGUAAAGCGCGCGCAGGUGGUUUCUUAAGUCUGAUGUGAAAGCCCACGGCUCNACCGUGGGAGGGUCAUUGGAAACUGGGAGACUUGAGUGCAGAAGAGGAAAGUGGAAUUCCAUGUGUAGCGGUGAAAUGCGUAGAGAUAUGGAGGAACACCAGUGGCGAAGGCGACUUUCUGGUCUGUAACUGACACUGAGGCGCGAAAGCGUGGGGAGCAAACAGGAUUAGAUACCUGGUAGUCCACGC